rnacentral:rRNA from 1 species
UAAGAGAGUUUGAUCCUGGCUCAGGAUGAACGCUGGCGGUAUGCCUAACACAUGCAAGUCGUACGAGAACUUUUUAAGUUCUAGUGGCGGACGGGUGAGUAACACGUGAGAACUUACCUUCAGGAGGGGAACAACCGUUAGAAAUGACGGCUAAUGCCCCAUAUGCUAUUA